rnacentral:piRNA from 1 species
UGUAAGCCUUGGUUCUGUUCC